rnacentral:rRNA from 1 species
UGGGGAAUAUUGGACAAUGGGGGCAACCCUGAUCCAGCAAUGCCGCGUGUGUGAAGAAGGUCUUCGGAUUGUAAAGCACUUUCGACGGGGACGAUGAUGACGGUACCCGUAGAAGAAGCCCCGGCUAACUUCGUGCCAGCAGCCGCGGUAAUACGAAGGGGGCUAGCGUUGCUCGGAAUGACUGGGCGUAAAGGGCGUGUAGGCGGUUUACACAGUCAGAUGUGAAAUCCCCGGGCUUAACCUGGGAGCUGCAUUUGAUACGUGUAGACUAGAGUGUGAGAGAGGGUUGUGGAAUUCCCAGUGUAGAGGUGAAAUUCGUAGAUAUUGGGAAGAACACCGGUGGCGAAGGCGGCAACCUGGCUCAUGACUGACGCUGAGGCGCGAAAAGCGUGGGGAGCAAACAGGAUUAGAUACCCUGGUAGUCCACGCCUGUAAAACGAUGUGUGCUAGAUGUUGGGUAACUUUGUUAUUCAGUGUCGCAGUUAACGCGUUAAAGCACA